rnacentral:rRNA from 1 species
CCUACGGGAGGCAGCAGUGGGGAAUAUUGGACAAUGGGCGCAAGCCUGAUCCAGCCAUGCCGCGUGUGUGAAGAAGGCCUUCGGGUUGUAAAGCACUUUUGUCCGGAAAGAAAAGCUUAGGGUUAAUAACCCUGAGUCAUGACGGUACCGGAAGAAUAAGCACCGGCUAACUUCGUGCCAGCAGCCGCGGUAAUACGAAGGGUGCAAGCGUUACUCGGAAUUACUGGGCGUAAAGCGUGCGUAGGUGGUUUGUUAAGUCUGAUGUGAAAGCCCUGGGCUCAACCUGGGAAUGGCAUUGGAAACUGGCUUACUAGAGUGCGGUAGAGGGUAGCGGAAUUCCCGGUGUAGCAGUGAAAUGCGUAGAUAUCGGGAGGAACAUCCGUGGCGAAGGCGGCUACCUGGACCAGCACUGACACUGAGGCACGAAAGCGUGGGGAGCAAACAGGAUUAGAUACCCUGGUAGUCCACGCCCUAAACGAUGCGAACUGGAUGUUGGGGGCAACUUGGCCCUCAGUAUCGAAGCUAACGCGUUAAGUUCGCCGCCUGGGAAGUACGGUCGCAAGACUGAAACUCAAAGGAAUUGACGGGGGCCCGCACAAGCGGUGGAGUAUGUGGUUUAAUUCGAUGCAACGCGCAGAAC